CCGGUGGGCUGCGUGAGGACGCGACGCGCGGCGGGAGGAGGAGCGCGGGAGUCGUGUGUCUCUGGCGACUCCGGGGCGCCGGCAUCCGAGGCCAUCCGAGGCCGUCGGGGUUCCAGGCGGUGCCCCGCCGCACCGGCUGAGGCCCGCCCCACGCACGCUAAAAAUGAAGCUCAGGAGGAGUGGGGCCGCCCUCGGCAAAUACCGCGUAGAAGGAGCGAGGGGCAAGGCUGGCCCCGCAGAGCCAGAGACACAGAGAGAGGCGGAGACACAGAGUGAGAAGCAGGCACCAUGCAGGGAGACCGACUCAGGACUCAAUCCCAGAACUCCAGGAUCACAUCCUGGCUGAAGGCAGCGCUAAACCGCUGAGCCGCCAGUGCUGCCCAUUGGCCCAUCUUUCUGAGGACGUUCGUGUGGCAUGCAGCCGCAGGAUGGAGGAGGCUCUGCUCUGGGUCCCUGCCCAGCACAGGAUGUACAGUCUGCCCUCACCUGAGCCAGGUGCCAGAGCCAGAAGAACGCCGACAGGACAGGUGGCCUGGUCAUCACUGCGUGGCUGUGUCUGCGAUCUGCCGCGGUACACGUGCUGGAGAGGCCUGUCUUCACUUCUGUUCAUUCCCAUGAGCCCACCCCACCCCCACCAGAGAAGAAGUUAAGAACCACCAACUUGGUCUGACCUUCGUCUCCUAAGUCAGCCAGUCCAGGUGCCUUGAUCUCCUGCCAGAGGUCAGCGCCGGGGGUGUGGCCUGCCCAUCAUACACUGCAGGGGUGCAGCUGGAUCUGAGCGGCCUUUGUGCCCCACCCCCAGCAGGUUUGGAUGCCAUGCUGUCCACUCCCAAUAUGGGUCCCUGCUCUACCUCAGGGCCCAGGCUUCUCUGACCUCUCCUGUGUGGGAAAUGAGGGGUGGUUAAUAAACAGUCUUUUUAGUUUGGGUGCAGCCA